rnacentral:rRNA from 1 species
CCUACGGGAGGCAGCAGUGAGGAAUAUUGGUCAAUGGACGCAAGUCUGAACCAGCCAUGCCGCGUGCAGGAAGAAGGCUCUAUGAGUUGUAAACUGCUUUUGUACGAGGGUAAACGCAGAUACGUGUAUCUGUCUCAAAGUAUCGCACGAAUAAGGAUCGGGGAAUUCCGUGCAAGCAGCCGCGGUAAUACGGAGGGUCCAAGCGUUAUCCGGAUUUAUUGGGUGUAAAGGGUGCGUAGGCGGUGGGAUAAGUUAGAGGUGAAAUCCCGAGGCUCAACUUCGGAAUUGCAUCUGAUACUGUUCGGCUAGAGAGUAGUUGCGGUAGGCGGAAUGUAUGGUGUAGCGGUGAAAUGCUUAGAGAUCAUACAGAACACCGGUUGCGAAGGCAGCUUACCAGGCUACUUCUGACGUUGAGGCACGAAAGCGUGGGGAGCAAACAGGAUUAGAUACCCGAGUAGUC